rnacentral:lncRNA from 1 species
UGGAUCUGUGGUUUCUGGUUCCGAAUUCAUGCCGAAGUUCUGAACCUGUGCCUUGUGAUACACAGCCAACUAGUCAUGGUCUCAUCAUUUGCAUCAUAGCAUGUUUAUUUUCAAAAAAUAAUGCAUAAAAAAAAAGAGAAGAGAAAAAAAGCUAACUUGCACAUGCAUAUCAUUUCUCAGGUUCAUUCAGGAGUCUGUUCACGUCGA